GAGCUUGCUUUUCUGCUGACGACCGGCGAACGGGUGCGUAACGCGUAUAGAAUCUGCCUUGUACAGGAGGGUAGCCUUUAGAAAUGAAGAUUAAUACUCCAUAAAUUUAAGAGAUGGCAUCAUUUUUUAAUUAAAGAUUUAUCGGUACGAGAUGACUAUGCGUCCUAUUAGCUAGAUGGUAAGGUAACGGCUUACCAUGGCAACGAUAGGUAGGGGGUCUGAGAGGAUUAUCCCCCACACUGGUACUGAGACACGGACCAGACUCCUACGGGAGGCAGCAGUGAGGAAUAUUGGUCAAUGGAGGCAACUCUGAACCAGCCAUGCCGCGUGCAGGAAGACUGCCCUAUGGGUUGUAAACUGCUUUUAUACAGGAAGAAACUUGGUUACGUGUAACCAACUGACGGUACUGUAAGAAUAAGCACCGGCUAACUCCGUGCCAGCAGCCGCGGUAAUACGGAGGGUGCAAGCGUUAUCCGGAAUCAUUGGGUUUAAAGGGUCCGCAGGCGGUCAAUUAAGUCAGAGGUGAAAUCCCAUAGCUUAACUAUGGAACUGCCUUUGAUACUGGUUGACUUGAGUUAUACGGAAGUAGAUAGAAUAAGUAGUGUAGCGGUGAAAUGCAUAGAUAUUACUUAGAAUACCGAUUGCGAAGGCAGUCUACUACGUAUAUACUGACGCUCAUGGACGAAAGCGUGGGGGAGCGAACAGGAUUAGAUACCCUGGUAGUCCACGCCGUAACGAUGGACACUAGUUGUUGGAUUUAGAUUCAGUGACUAAGCGAAAGUGAUAAGUGU
rnacentral:rRNA from 1 species